rnacentral:rRNA from 1 species
UAUUCGACGGCGGAAAGUGGAAAAGGAAAUGCGUGGCGGCGAUGGCGGAGCGUGCCUGAACCUGUCGGGGACCUUGCCCUUUUCCUUGUAGGGCUUGACGAGGACGCGCGCGUCGCAGACGAAAUGCGGGUUCCCCUUGGCGAGGAUGAGCCGCACCGUCUCCGCGUACACGAACGUGACGAAGCCGAACAUGCGCUUCUGCUGGUACGGGAUGCGCACGUCCUGCACCGGCCCGUAGUACCUGAAGUAGGAGGACACGUCCUCCUCGCUGAAGGUGGAGUCGGCCGGGAAUGUCAGGUAGAUCUGCCGCGCGGCGGGGCUGGAGGCGAGGUCGCCGCCGCGGUCCAUCCGAGGCGACCGCACGGAGAACUUGUGCAUGUCGUCGCCCCCACCGCCAAGAAGCAUGGCCGCCGCCGCCGCCGCCCUGGAAUAGCAAGCAAGAUUAGCACUGGAGAGAGAAAC